rnacentral:snoRNA from 1 species
CCUGCCACUGCACCUGACUAGUUCUUGUUGGCUGGUGCAGUCUAGUAGUGAGCUGAAAGUAAGCCCCAGCUUUUAGGAAACAGAGUUGUCCUAUAUGUGGAUGGCUCUGUGCUGAAGGCAUGGGAACAGUC